rnacentral:rRNA from 1 species
UACGUAGGGUGCGAGCGUUGUCCGGAAUUACUGGGCGUAAAGCGCACGUAGGCGGCUUUGCAAGUUAGAGGUGAAAGCCCAGGGCUCAACUCCGGAAUUGCCUUUAAAACUGCAUCGCUAGAAUUGUGGAGAGGUAAGUGGAAUUCCGAGUGUAGAGGUGAAAUUCGUAGAUAUUCGGAAGAACACCAGUGGCGAAGGCGACUUACUGGACACAUAUUGACGCUGAGGUGCGAAAGCGUGGGGAGCAAACAGG